UACGUAGGUGGCAAGCGUUGUCCGGAUUUACUGGGCGUAAAGCGCGCGCAGGCGGUCUGGUCAGUCCGGGGUGAAAUCUCACGGCUCAACCGUGAGCGGUCCCCGGAUACUGCCAGUCUUGAGGUGUCUAGAGGAGAGCGGAAUUCCCGGUGUAGUGGUGGAAUGCGUAGAUAUCGGGAAGAACACCAGUGGCGAAAGCGGCUCUCUGGGGACCACCUGACGCUGAGGCGCGAAAGCGUGGGGAGCGAACAGG
rnacentral:rRNA from 1 species